UCUGAGGCAGAAUCCACCUCUUUACUGGCUGAUGGAGCAGAGCUAAUCUGCGUUGGUGUUUCGCUGUGAAGGUUCUUCAAAAUCCACAAAGUUGUGGGAUACAGGAAGAGGGUUUUAAAUAGGAAACACCUGAGAGGUUUGAUAGAGGAUGUGGUUUAACGUUUGUCUCAUUCGAGGAAGGUAAUCUGAGAAAAAUCCACUUUGGAGAAGAUCAUAUUAUGGAAAAUGUAGAAGGCAGCGUAGAUAGACUUUCCACUGUGGACCAAGGACUUGUGGCACUCAAAAACCAAAGAAGCACAACUGCAAUCAUCUAUUAAUGAGUUGUUUUCAUGCAUUUACACAAGUUUAUACAUUUUUUUUUUGCAUGCACUCAAUUUAUUCUAGAUUAUAAUGUUAUUGUAAACCAUAUUAUACUUGUGAAUUAUGCUCCACAACUAAAAAUAUACAUGGCAAGAUGGCAAGAGAGUCAAAGAAGCCUCCACUGAAAGGACAUAACCAGGAUGCAGACAGUGAAGAAUAAGUCGAGGGAAAAUGGACGUGUAGCUUGAAGCCUUUGAUGUACUAUGUGUUACGUAAAUGUGGAUAUUUAUCCAAACCCACAAGCCUUCACAUUGUAGUUCAUGUACAUCAAAACCCGAUGCACUUUUUUUUCUCUCUCUCUCUUUAUGAUGAAGGCUUCAAGACGUCAUUGCUCAGAGAGUUUUUAUAUGCUCUGUAUUAACUGUGCACAAUAGUACAUGCAGCAUUCUUUUCAGUAUUGUGGACAAAUACAAUUAGAAACACAUGUUUAGUUAAACCAUUCUUUUAAUGACUGUGACUGUCGCUUUUUGUUUCAAUGUGUUUUAACUUUUCACUUCUUUUUCUUUCCGUGGUUUCAAAUUAUCCCCAACUUUCCUGACAUGCAUGUGUUUUUAUAUGCUGCGCCUUGUCAAAUAAAACUGAAAUGAAAUCCAAAUGAACUUUGUCCUUUUUGGCUUCCAAAUAUGAAUUAAACUGCUUAUUUCACAACA